GGGGUAGGUUUGGGGGUAGGUUUUAGGCCCCCUGGAUGUCUGGUGCCCAAUUUGGAGAUCCAAAGGAGCUCCGCCCGGUGGCGUUGGGCGAGGCUCCAUUUGGGAUCCGUCUCUACGACAGUCGCCCGGACGGAAGACCACCCGUGUCGGAGAAAAUGCUGCACCAGACUAUGAAGGGCCUCGACUUCUCCGCGUGUCAAAUUGGGAGCGACCGCAGGUGCGCAACCCGAACCGAACAUGGAGAGCCCGUCGGACCGGACCAUAGCCUGGAAUUCCGGAGGCAUAAGUCCAGGUGAGGGCUCCCAGCCGGAACGGGCUGUGAACGGUGUGGGUCCGAGAGAAUCUUGUUUCUCAUAGUACACCUCAAGUUUAACACGUCUGUGGUAGCGCUGGAGAUCAAAUUGAAGUUGAUGAUGCCAGUCGCUACUGAGAUUAGUGGAGGGAAUGAAGUUGAGGCCCUUGUUAAGGAGGGAGAUUUGUAAGGGGGUUGGCGUGAAAUUAUGGGCCAAAUUUAUCACGUUCUUAUUACCCCCCCGAGCGAUCGGGAUUAUGGGGAUGCCAAGUUUAAAAAGUCAAGCCAGUGCUUGAGCAUCAACUUGGCCGUGUCCCGCGUCCAGUGGACCAGGUCGGGUUGGGUCUCAAAGUCCCGGCUGUCGAGGGCCGGGAUGUGAGCAUAAUUGUUCCUGAUGAAACCAUUCAGCAGCCCGAGAUUAUUUUUCUGCUCAACGGGCAAAGAAGCCGAAUAAUUAAUCAGGGGGAUUAGCACUCGGGCCCGUGGGAAGGUGGCCGCGCCCAUCCUGAGUGCCCCUUGGAGCUGCUUAAUAGCGGUCUCCUUAACUUUCUGCUCACGAUGGUUGAUCCCAAAUGCUAGAACCAACACUUCAACCGGUGCAGCAAUUAUAGUCUUGCGUAGGAUGGCCUCCGCGUGUCUAAAACUAGCGCCCGGGUAACUGUCGAUCUGAAGGUCGUCGACGUAAAAGGGUGGUAGAUGGGACAGAUUGGAGUCGCCGAUCACCAAGAAUUUCUUGUUGGCCGACAACUUCCAAUCCAUCAUCCUCCUACUCGAGACCAUGUGUCUAGUGGGUCUACGGGGGGAGGCACAAGUCAUAUCCUCUACCAACUCGACACAUUCUGGAAUAGACAGGUGUUGUGGAGUGUCUGGGACAG